CGUAAGUGUGUUCCGAUUCUGGUAUAGAGCUAGAUUCUUAGGCAAUUAGUUCGUUGAGUAAGGAAACGACGACAUAUUGUUAUUAGGCUUUGUUUAGUGACUUUUUAAUUAACUUGUUUUCUUUGUCCCACACCGACUAAAGUAGAGAUAAGUUGUGUUGUUUAUAUAUUGGUAGAGAUCACAAGUGGGCACGACCUUACUUGAACAGGAUUUGUUCUAUAGGCUUGUACCUCUGUAUCCUUGGUUUAUAAGGAGACAGGACCUAAAACCUGGUUGAUGAAUCAUAUGACCGUGCAAUCUUAGUGUGAUUGACGGGGUUAGAGGUUCUUUAGGGUCUCUGUGAUCUUAGAUCUAAGUCUGAUUGACGUAAGUCUGAUCGACGAAUCGAGCAAGUUUAGAAUCUCUUCGCUGUCGAUGGUCGCCACCCGGUUAGGUCUUCCUCUCCGGGGUGGGUCGCGCGGUUGUCUGACAGUGUGAUCCUUUUUCAAUGACAUCAGUUUAGGUUGACUAUGUCAUGUAUCCUUUGAAAUUACUGAAAAUUUUGAGGACUCUUGGUACUUGUGUGUUCUUAUAAACAUUUAACUAAAGCUAGACAAAGGAGAGAGUUACGAAAGACAGACAGUUUUUAAGCACAUAGUAUGAAGACCAAUUUGCUUUGAACCUUGACAAAGCCAAAAAGUGUCAAAAGAAUGUAAUAAGCGAUUUGGUUUAGUGAAGGUACUAUGGUUGGCUGUUGGCACCACUAAUGGCUGGUAAACGAGCUUUCUCGGGGUUUCUUGUUAGCCAGAGAAAGGAACAAGAUUAAUGCUUUAAUUGAUUCUAAUGUUGUAUUUUCUUGCAAAGACACACAAGUUAACAAUUUGGAUUGGUACUGAUUAGUUAUUA